AACCCAUGCAUAGGACACUUUCACAAAAAAAUCCUUGAAUAUUUCCCAUACUUCAUUCAAGCUUUCAUCAUCCAUAUGCUUCAAUGAGGUUAAGUCAUUUCUAAGCUU